rnacentral:rRNA from 1 species
GUGGAAUGCGUAGAGAUCGAUCGGAACGCCAAGGGUGAAGACAACCCGCUGGGGCUUUCCUGACGCUGAGGCACGAAAGCGUGGGGAUCAAACAGGAUUAGAUACCGUGGUAGUCCACGCCCUAAACGAUGCACACUAGAUCGGUGCCGGUUUCACCCGGUAUUGGUCGUAGAGAAAUUGAUAAGUGUGCCGCCUGGGGAGUACGGUCGCAAGGCUAAAACUCAAAGAAAUUGACGGGGGCUCACACAAGCGGUGGAGCAUGUUGCUUAAUUCGAAGCAACGCGAAGAACCUUACCUGGGUUUGACAUGCACGGAUUAGUUCCUGGAAACAGGAAUGAGGCCCGCAAGGGUACAACGUGCACAGGUGCUGCAUGGCUGUCGUCAGCUCGUGCUGUGAAGUGUUUGGUUAAGUCCAUUAACGAGCGCAACCCCUGUCGCUAGUUGCUAACGGGUAAUGCCGAGGACUCUAGCGAGACUGCCGCUGUAAAGCGGAGGAAGGUGGGGAUGACGUCAAGUCCUCAUGGCCCUUACAUCCAGGGUUGCAAACGUGCUACAAUGGCGCGCACAAAGCGACGCGAGGCCGCAAGGCGGAGCAAAUCGCAAAAAACGCGCCCCAGUUCGGAUUGAAGGCUGCAACCCGCCUUCAUGAAGUUGGAAUCGCUAGUAAUCGGAGAUCAGCUACGCUCCGGUGAAUAAGUUCCUGAGCCUUGUACACACCGCCCGUCAAGUCAUGGGAGCCGGUAGCGCCCGAAGCCGCCACAGCACUGUGGUGUCUACGGCAAGAUCGGUGACUGGGACUAAGUCGUAACAAGGUAACCGU